CUCCACCUAGCAAUAUCUCAUGUUAAUAGGGUAAUUGCAUCUUUCUGAUGUAAUUGAACUAUUGCAAUCAGUCAAGAAUAAUCAACGUCGGUUGGACACCCACACUCCUACAAUGGUGGAAGAUCUAUGACUUAAUAUUUGUAGAGAGGUUUAAUUUAGGUCUCAUCUUAAUUAGUCAUAACUGUUAUGACUAAUCCUAGGGGCGUGGGCU
rnacentral:lncRNA from 1 species